rnacentral:rRNA from 1 species
UACGAAGGGGGCUAGCGUUGCUCGGAAUCACUGGGCGUAAAGCGCACGUAGGCGGCUUUUAAGUCAGAGGUGAAAUCCUGGAGCUCAACUCCAGAACUGCCUUUGAUACUGGAGAGCUUGAGUCCGGGAGAGGUGAGUGGAACUGCGAGUGUAGAGGUGAAAUUCGUAGAUAUUCGCAAGAACACCAGUGGCGAAGGCGGCUCACUGGCCCGGUACUGACGCUGAGGUGCGAAAGCGUGGGAGCAAACAGG